AUUGAACGCUGGCGGCAUGCUUUACACAUGCAAGUCGAACGGGAACAGGCCGCAAGGUGCUGACGAGUGGCGAACGGGUGAGUAAUGCAUCGGAACGUGCCCAGUCGUGGGGGAUAACGCAGCGAAAGCUGUGCUAAUACCGCACACGAUCUAUGGAUGAAAGCGGGGGACCGUAAGGCCUCGCGCGAUUGGAGCGGCCGAUGUCAGAUUAGGUAGUUGGUGGGGUAAAGGCCUACCAAGCCAACGAUCUGUAGCUGGUCUGAGAGGUCGACCAGCAACACUGGGACUGAGACACGGCCCAGACUCCUACGGGAGGCAGCAGUGGGGAAUUUUGGACAAUGGGCGCAAGCCUGAUCCAGCAAUGCCGCGUGCAGGAUGAAGGCCUUCGGGUUGUAAACUGCUUUUGUACGGAACGAAACGGUGAGCUCUAAUACAGUUUGCUAAUGACGGUACCGUAAGAAUAAGCACCGGCUAACUACGUGCCAGCCGCCGCGGUAAAAC
rnacentral:rRNA from 1 species